rnacentral:rRNA from 1 species
UGGGGAAUAUUGGACAAUGGGCGCAAGCCUGAUCCAGCCAUGCCGCGUGAGUGAUGAAGGCCCUAGGGUUGUAAAGCUCUUUCACCGGUGAAGAUAAUGACGGUAACCGGAGAAGAAGCCCCGGCUAACUUCGUGCCAGCAGCCGCGGUAAUACGAAGGGGGCUAGCGUUGUUCGGAUUUACUGGGCGUAAAGCGCACGUAGGCGGACUUUUAAGUCAGGGGUGAAAUCCCGGGGCUCAACCCCGGAACUGCCUUUGAUACUGGAAGUCUUGAGUAUGGUAGAGGUGAGUGGAAUUCCUAGUGUAGAGGUGAAAUUCGUAGAUAUUCGGGGGAACACCAGUGGCGAAGGCGGCUCACUGGACCAUUACUGACGCUGAGGUGCGAAAGCGUGGGGAGCAAACAGG